GUUCACUUGUGCAAAAAUACUAAUAUCAAAUAUUUACCUGUAAUAAUAACAGUGUUUUAAUAGGAAUAAAUUUAUAUGAAAAUCUCAACUAGAAAUGUCUUGCUCAUGUUCUACUUUAAAUUUCAACUUGAGAUUUUUUGAUCAUCUAUACAUGAUUAUCACAAGUUGCAUGGUAUCUUUGUUCUCGCCAGGAACCAGCUACAACAAACUUCUCAGGAUACAAAGUGUCCUCCACAAUCCUUGUCUUAAUUCUCAGGAUACAAUGUGUCUCCUCCACAAUCCUUGUCCUUCAGAAUCCUUGUCUCCAUCAUUUUCCUAAUCAGAGCUUGAAUCAUUCAUGUAUUUAGCAUCACCAGUAGCCUGUUACACACCCAACAAUUGGGUCAACUGCUGAAUUUCAUCAAUCUUGUCCAUGUCUGCAACUCCACCUUCUGCACCAAUACUUUCAACAUCACCAGGCAUCUCUUCACCAUGAAUUUUAACCAGACACAUAGGAUUUAAUGGCUGUUUAAUGCAAUUGCAUAACAAUGGCUCAUCUAAAUUCACCAGUGGUAGGUCAUUCAGUAUAUCCUCUAAAAUAUCCAGCUUGGAUGGUCAGAUUGUUACAGAAGUUGGUGAUGGAAUAAUGUUAAACUCCCACAACAGAACACAACAUAAGUACUACAGGUAAAAAAAGAUUUGAUGCAUUUAUACAGGGACGUUGGAACAAUAAAAAGGCAAGGGCACCUUUAUAGACCUACAAUUAUGUGUUGACUUGC